rfam:Trichobilharzia regenti genome assembly, scaffold: TRE_scaffold0119372
AUCCAGAUAACGAAUCCCAAACAGGACGAAAUACGCAUCCUGGAU